rnacentral:rRNA from 1 species
GACGAACGCUGGCGGCGUGCUUAACACAUGCAAGUCGAACGAAGAGCGAUGGGAGCUUGCUUCUAUCAAUCUUAGUGGCGAACGGGUGAGUAACGCGUAAUCAACCUGCCCUUCAGAGGGGGACAACAGUUGGAAACGACUGCUAAUACCGCAUACGAUCUAACCUCGGCAUCGAGGAUAGAUGUAAGGUGGCCUCUAUUUAUAAGCUAUCACUGAAGGAGGGGAUUGCGUCUGAUUAGCUAGUUGGAGGGGUAACGGCCCACCAAGGCGAUGAUCAGUAGCCGGUCUGAGAGGAUGAACGGCCACAUUGGGACUGAGACACGGCCCAGACUCCUACGGGAGGCAGCAGUGGGGAAUCUUCCGCAAUGGACGAAAGUCUGACGGAGCAACGCCGCGUGAGUGAUGACGGCCUUCGGGUUGUAAAGCUCUGUUAAUCGGGACGAUAGGCCUUCUUGCGAAUAGUUAGAAGGAUUGACGGUACCGGAAUAGAAAGCCACGGCUAACUACGUGCCAGCAGCCGCGGUAAUACGUAGGUGGCAAGCGUUGUCCGGAAUUAUUGGGCGUAAAGCGCGCGCAGGCGGAUUGGUCAGUCUGUCUUAAAAGUUCGGGGCUUAACCCCGUGAUGGGAUGGAAACUGCCAAUCUAGAGUAUCGGAGAGGAAAGUGGAAUUCCUAGUGUAGCGGUGAAAUGCGUAGAUAUUAGGAAGAACACCAGUGGCGAAGGCGAGUUUCUGGACGAAAACUGACGCUGAGGCGCGAAAGCCAGGGGAGCGAACGGGAUUAGAUACCCCGGUAGUCCUGGCCGU